rnacentral:snoRNA from 10 species
AGCCUUUGUGUUGCCCAUUCACUUUGGAAACUAGUGAAUGUGGUGUCAAAAAAGGCGUAAAUUAAACGCUUUGCAGCCUUUUCCUGCCCUUAAAUUUGAUACCUUUGGUGUAGGAGCUGCAUAAGUAACAGUU